GGAAGGAAGGGUGGUUUCCUCUGCAUGAUGUUUGUGCGCUCUGACUGAGGGAGGACGUGAAGCGCAAAUUGCGGCCAGGAAAGGUGAGCGGGAUGACGAAAAUCCGGGCGCUCCAUAUGGUUUCGGCCGCGGGACGCGUUCGCAGCGAGCGGAGCGAAAUCAAUCGGACCAAGGAUGCGAUUGGAGCAGCUGGACGACGGCAGACGAUGGCUUUUGGCAGGACGACGACCGCACGUGCGACGCGACGUACGAAGCCGCAACUCCUCAGUUGCCUUUGCCUUUCGCAUCGCAAUCUGGAUCUGGAGCUGGAUGGGGCGACGCGGCCCCGCCGCAAGCGACCGCCGCCACCGCGGCGGCGGCGGCUCCGUCCCCCUACCCCUCCUCGGGAGACGACGCCCAUUAUUUAUUGUGAGGCCCCUUCCCCGCUUCCAUUGACGAGUUAGGGAUCGGAACUCGGGUGUUGCCCGGAAUUAGGUGGAGGACCAAGGGCAGGAUGGUGUUGUUGGUAGCGGAUCUGAAGGGGACGAUGCAGUGGUUAGGCGGCUGUGGCAGUUCCUUCAGGCUGAGGGGCCUCCAUUUUUGUUUUUUGCUUUAAUCAAUCCUGCUUGUCUAAAUUUGCUUGACUUUGUGUUCACAGUUAAUGCUGCUGGCCUAACUUUGCUUGACUCGUGUCUUCACAAUUAAGUGGUUGGGCAAUCAUGGGGUGAUCUUGCUGCUGUUUGAGACUCCUACAGGCUUUGCGCUAUUGAGUUAUCAUGGGAUAGAACUCUUUCGCUCAGAUGCCUUGGAGGUUGUCUUUCAAGAAGAUUUUCAAGUUUUUGAGGAGAAGGCCAGUGCAAUUACUCUUCAAACUGGUGUUAGUGAUCAGCUCGCUGGAAUGAACAAGGAGUGGCUUAACCCUGGCAGACACUUGCUGUUGGAAAUGCUACUUAUAAAACAAUCAUUGAAGCAAAGCUGGGAAUAUAUUGCUUGUUUAAUGAUGCUAAGAUCGAAGUGUUGUGGGGCCUGAAGAAUCUCAUGAAGAGUAUGGUGCCUGAUGAAAAAUCAGACCUGACUGAUGAGGACCGCCCACAGAUGUGUCAAGGAAUGAAAAUGGUCCUGGAUCGUCACAACAUUUAUGUUAAGCCAGAGAUGAUUAAUAGGCCUAUAAUUGAGAUGACAUGCUGUGUGUAUGAAUUCGACUUUUGUUUGAGGAGGAAACACAUUGAAAUCUUGCGCCGAGGUGGACGAUCUCUUCUGAAGGUAUCUAAAAUCAAUUGUGAACAGUGGAACUGUAUGAAACUUGCAACUGCUCUUAAGUUGGUAUGCUACCCUGAAGAAGGAAUCGAGCUCGGUAACUCUCCAGAGAUGUUGUUAGUGGAUGAGGCAAGAAAACUGAGAGGUGAUGCACAUCAAUAUGAAGGUGAAUUUAAAAAAUACACCUUUUUGACAAUCUACAAAGAAGCUGUGUGGGCUUGUGAUCUUAGGACUAAGGCCCUAAGAUGCUUGCGUACCUUGGUCAAGGAGGCCAUGCAGCUAAGUGCAGAAACGCGUGAGGGGGAACCAAACAGUUUGGUUGGAGAUACGGGAUUGAAGCUCCCACGCAGAUGGAGCCGGUGGAGGAGGCCAAUCAUGACGUGCAUGUUCCUGGAGGCGAACCUGGCCUGAUGGGAAGCUAGCUGCACACUAUCGAGAAGAAUUAAGAGUUCAGGCUUGGCCUGCUGUCUACGUUUCUGCAUGUUUCUUUUCUGCUAACGUAGAUCAUCUAACUUUGCGCGUAUCGGGAAUGCCUACAGUGAGAGCUAGAAGAACUAUGUAAUGAACUCAAUUAUUUUAUCCUGUUAAAUAGUUAUGGAAUGAGGUUGUUGCUCUAAAAGCUACUGAUUAUGCUGGCAAUUAAGAACGUUGUCUAUU